rnacentral:tRNA from 1 species
UCCCUGGUGGCUCAGAUGGUAUAGAAUCUGACUGCAAUUCAGGAGGACCCAGGUGCAGUCCCUGGGUGGGGAA